UCCGGUUUGUCACCGGCAGUCCCCUUAGAGUGCCCAACUGAAUGCUGGCAACUAAGGGCGAGGGUUGCGCUCGUUGCGGGACUUAACCCAACAUCUCACGACACGAGCUGACGACAGCCAUGCAGCACCUGUGUUCCCGCCAGCCGAACUGAAGGAUUCCAUCUCUGGAACCCAUACGGGACAUGUCAAGGGUCGGUAAGGUUCUGCGCGUUGCUUCGAAUUGAACCACAUGCUCCACCGCUUGUGCGGGCCCCCGUCAAUUUCUUUGAGUUUUAACCUUGCGGCCGUACUCCCCAGGCGGAUGACUUAAUGCGUUAGCUGCGCCACCGAAAGCCCAUGGCCCCCGACAGCUAGUCAUCAUCGUUUACGGCGUGGACUAC
rnacentral:misc_RNA from 1 species